rnacentral:snRNA from 1 species
GCUGGAAAAGUUCAUUCUUUCCGG